ACCGUACUCCUACGGGAGGCAGCAGUGGGGAAUUUUGGACAAUGGGGGCAACCCUGAUCCAGCAAUGCCGCGUGAGUGAAGAAGGCCUUCGGGUUGUAAAGCUCUUUUGUCAGGGAAGAAACGGUGGAGGUUAAUACCUUCCACUAAUGACGGUACCUGAAGAAUAAGCACCGGCUAACUACGUGCCAGCAGCCGCGGUAAUACGUAGGGUGCAAGCGUUAAUCGGAAUUACUGGGCGUAAAGCGUGCGCAGGCGGUUGUGUAAGUCAGAUGUGAAAUCCCCGGGCUCAACCUGGGAAUUGCAUUUGAGACUGCACGGCUAGAGUGUGUCAGAGGGGGGUAGAAUUCCACGUGUAGCAGUGAAAUGCGUAGAUAUGUGGAGGAAUACCGAUGGCGAAGGCAGCCCCCUGGGAUAACACUGACGCUCAUGCACGAAAGCGUGGGGAGCAAACAGGAUUAGAAACCCCAGUAGUCCUUGAC
rnacentral:rRNA from 1 species